rnacentral:rRNA from 1 species
GUAGGGGAGCAAACGUUGUCCGGAUUUAUUGGGCGUAAAGGGCUCGUAGGCGGUUCAACAAGUCGGUCGUGAAAACCCGGGGGGCUCAACCCCGGGGACGCCGGUCGAAACUGUUGUGACUAGAGUUCGGUAGAGGUGAGUGGAAUUCUCGGUGUAGCGGUGGAAUGCGCAGAUAUCGAGAGGAACACCAUUAGCGAAGGCGGCUCACUGGGCCGAUACUGACGCUGAGGAGCGAAAGCGUGGGGAGCAAACAGGAUUAGAUACCCUGGUAGUCCACGCCGUAAACGAUGAACACUAGGUGUGGCGGACUGAUUCAUGUCGGCUGCGCCGUAGCUAACGCAUUAAGUGUUCCGCCUGGGGAGUACGGCCGCAAGGCUA